rnacentral:rRNA from 1 species
AAGUUUUCUUCAGUUGACAGGGAUAUAAGGAGAUCUAACAUGAUAUCAUGGACUCGACAACUUGUCACUCUUCCGUCGGUGUUGAUUUGAUCCGAUUGGAUCAUGUUCCUGUUGAUGAGCUCAUUAAAAUAUCAUUCUGCUAUUUCUUCAACAUUUUGCCCUUGUUGGGCAACAACUAAUCCUUCAGCGGUCCAUCUCCAUACUAGACGCUUACAAUCAAUCUUAUGAUCCUCAGGGAAUGUGCUUAGGUCCAAUAGACACAUCUUCAAAUAG